rnacentral:rRNA from 1 species
CUACGGGCGGCAGCAGUGAGGAAUAUUGCACAAUGGGGGGAACCCUGAUGCAGCAACGCCGCGUGGAGGACGACGCAUUUCGGUGUGUAAACUCCUUUUAUAUGUCAAGAAAAUGACGGUAGCAUAUGAAUAAGCACCGGCUAACUCCGUGCCAGCAGCCGCGGUAAUACGGAGGGUGCAAGCGUUACUCGGAAUCACUGGGCGUAAAGGACGCGUAGGCGGGCUUGUAAGUCAGGUGUGAAAUCCUACAGCUUAACUGUAGAACUGCACUUGAAACUACGAGCCUAGAGUAUGGGAGGGGCAGAUGGAAUUAGUGGUGUAGGGGUAAAAUCCGUAGAUAUCACUGGGAAUACCUAAAGCGAAGGCGAUCUGCUGGAACAUAACUGACGCUAAGGCGUGAAAGCGUGGGGAGCAAACAGGAUUAGAUACCCCUGUAGUC